AGACCCGAAACCCGGUGAUCUAGCCAUGGGCAGGUUGAAGGUUGGGUAACACUAACUGGAGGACCGAACCGACUAAUGUUGAAAAAUUAGCGGAUGACUUGUGGCUGGGGGUGAAAGGCCAAUCAAACCGGGAGAUAGCUGGUUCUCCCCGAAAGCUAUUUAGGUAGCGCCUCGUGAAUUCAUCUCCGGGGGUAGAGCACUGUUUCGGCAAGGGGGUCAUCCCGACUUACCAACCCGAUGCAAACUGCGAAUACCGGAGAAUGUUAUCACGGGAGACACACGGCGGGUGCUAACGUCCGUCGUGAAGAGGGAAACAACCCAGACCGCCAGCUAAGGUCCCAAAGUCAUGGUUAAGUGGGAAACGAUGUGGGAAGGCCCAGACAGCCAGGAUGUUGGCUUAGAAGCAGCCAUCAUUUAAAGAAAGCGUAAUAGCUCACUGGUCGAGUCGGCCUGCGCGGAAGAUGUAACGGGGCUAAACAAUGCACCGAAGCUGCGGCAGCGACACUGUGUGUUGUUGGGUAGGGGAGCGUUCUGUAAGCCUGUGAAGGUGUACUGUAAGGUAUGCUGGAGGUAUCAGAAGUGCGAAUGCUGACAUAAGUAACGAUAAAGCGGGUGAAAAGCCCGCUCGCCGGAAGACCAAGGGUUCCUGUCCAACGUUAAUCGGGGCAGGGUGAGUCGACCCCUAAGGCGAGGCCGAAAGGCGUAGUCGAUGGGAAACAGGUUAAUAUUCCUGUACUUGGUGUUACUGCGAAGGGGGGACGGAGAAGGCUAUGUUGGCCGGGCGACGGUUGUCCCGGUUUAAGCGUGUAGGCUGGUUUUCCAGGCAAAUCCGGAAAAUCAAGGCUGAGGCGUGAUGACGAGGCACUACGGUGCUGAAGCAACAAAUGCCCUGCUUCCAGGAAAAGCCUCUAAGCAUCAGGUAACAUCAAAUCGUACCCCAAACCGACACAGGUGGUCAGGUAGAGAAUACCAAGGCGCUUGAGAGAACUCGGGUGAAGGAACUAGGCAAAAUGGUGCCGUAACUUCGGGAGAAGGCACGCUGAUAUGUAGGUGAAGUCCCUCGCGGAUGGAGCUGAAAUCAGUCGAAGAUACCAGCUGGCUGCAACUGUUUAUUAAAAACACAGCACUGUGCAAACACGAAAGUGGACGUAUACGGUGUGACGCCUGCCCGGUGCCGGAAGGUUAAUUGAUGGGGUCAGCGCAAGCGAAGCUCUUGAUCGAAGCCCCGGUAAACGGCGGCCGUAACUAUAACGGUCCUAAGGUAGCGAAAUUCCUUGUCGGGUAAGUUCCGACCUGCACGAAUGGCGUAAUGAUGGCCAGGCUGUCUCCACCCGAGACUCAGUGAAAUUGAACUCGCUGUGAAGAUGCAGUGUACCCGCGGCAAGACGGAAAGACCCCGUGAACCUUUACUAUAGCUUGACACUGAACAUUGAGCCUUGAUGUGUAGGAUAGGUGGGAGGCUUUGAAGUGUGGACGCCAGUCUGCAUGGAGCCGACCUUGAAAUACCACCCUUUAAUGUUUGAUGUUCUAACGUGGACCCGUGAUCCGGGUUGCGGACAGUGUCUGGUGGGUAGUUUGACUGGGGCGGUCUCCUCCUAAAGAGUAACGGAGGAGCACGAAGGUUGGCUAAUCCUGGUCGGACAUCAGGAGGUUAGUGCAAUGGCAUAAGCCAGCUUGACUGCGAGCGUGACGGCGCGAGCAGGUGCGAAAGCAGGUCAUAGUGAUCCGGUGGUUCUGAAUGGAAGGGCCAUCGCUCAACGGAUAAAAGGUACUCCGGGGAUAACAGGCUGAUACCGCCCAAGAGUUCAUAUCGACGGCGGUGUUUGGCACCUCGAUGUCGGCUCAUCACAUCCUGGGGCUGAAGUAGGUCCCAAGGGUAUGGCUGUUCGCCAUUUAAAGUGGUACGCGAGCUGGGUUUAGAACGUCGUGAGACAGUUCGGUCCCUAUCUGCCGUGGGCGCUGGAGAACUGAGGGGGGCUGCUCCUAGUACGAGAGGACCGGAGUGGACGCAUCACUGGUGUUCGGGUUGUCAUGCCAAUGGCACUGCCCGGUAGCUAAAUGCGGAAGAGAUAAGUGCUGAAAGCAUCUAAGCACGAAACUUGCCCCGAGAUGAGUUCUCCCUGACCCUUUAAGGGUCCUGAAGGAACGUUGAAGACGACGACGUUGAUAGGCCGGGUGUGUAAGCGCAGCGAUGCGUUGAGCUAACCGGUACUAAUGAACCGUGAGGCUUAACCUU
rnacentral:rRNA from 2 species